GUCAGCAGAUAGUUCAGUUGGUAGAGUAUGAGUCUCUUAAUCUUAGGGUCAUGGGUUUGAGCACCGCUUUGGGCA